rnacentral:rRNA from 1 species
UCCCGGUUGAUCCUGCCAGACCCGACUGCUAUCGGAUUGGGAUUUAGCCAUGUUAGUUGUGCGUUCCUGGCUACAGGCGCGCAGCGUACGGCUCAGUAACACGUAGUCAACCUGCCCUGGAGACGUGGACAAGCCCGGGAAACUGGGGCUGAUCCGCGAUAGAUGACCUCAUCUGGAAGGAGAGGUCGUCCAAAGGGCGGCACGGGUAUGCUCUGUGCUAUUCGCUCCAGGAUGGGACUGCGGCCGAUCAGGCUGUUGGCGGGGUAAUGGCCCACCAAACCUGUAACCGGUACGGGCUUUGAGAGAAGGAGCCCGGAGAUGGACACUGAGACAAGGGUCCAGGCCCUACGGGGCGCAUCAGGCGCGAAACCUUCGCAAUGCGCGAAAGCGUGACGAGGCUAGUCCGAGUGCUUCCUGCUAAAGGGGGCUUUUCUCGGCUGUAAAUAGGCCGGGGAAUAAGGGGAGGGCAAGUCUGGUGUCAGCCGCCGCGGUAAUACCAGCUCCUCGAGUGGUCGGGACGAUUAUUGGGCCUAAAGCACCCGUAGCCGGUUCCGUAAGUCCUCUGUUAAAUCCAGUUGCUCAACGGCUGGCCUGCAGAGGAUACUGCGGGACUAGGAGGCGGGAGAGGCGGACGGUACUCCGCGUGUAGGGGUAAAAUCCUUUGAUCCGCGGAAGACCACCAGUGGCGAAGGCGGUCUGCCAGAACGCGCUCGACGGUGAGGGGUGAAAGCUGGGGGAGCGAACCGGAUUAGAUACCCGGGUAGUCCCAGCCGUAAACGAUGCGAGCUAGAUGAUUCGAUCGCAUAACGCGAUCGAAGUGUCGCAGGGAAGCCGUUAAGCUCGCCGCCUGGGGAGUACGGUCGCAAGGCUGAAUUGUAGGCGGAUAUUCCGCUUGCACAGUUCACUUAAAGGAAUUGGCGGGGGAGCACCACAAGGGGUGAAGCCUGCGGUUCAAUUGGACUCAACGCCGGG